AGUGAACGCUGGCGGUAGGCCUAACACAUGCAAGUCGAACGGCAGCACAGUAAGAGCUUGCUCUUACGGGUGGCGAGUGGCGGACGGGUGAGGAAUACAUCGGAAUCUACUUUUUCGUGGGGGAUAAUGUAGGGAAACUUACGCUAAUACCGCAUGCGACCUACGGGUGAAAGCAGGGGAUCUUCGGACCUUGCGCGAUUGAAUGAGCCGAUGUCGGAUUAGCUAGUUGGCGGGGUAAAGGCCCACCAAGGCGACGAUCCGUAGCUGGUCUGAGAGGAUGAUCAGCCACACUGGAACUGAGACACGGUCCAGACUCCUACGGGAGGCGGCAGUGGGGAAUAUUGGACAAUGGGCGCAAGCCUGAUCCAGCCAUACCGCGUGGGUGAAGAAGGCCUUCGGGUUGUAAAGCCCUUUUGUUGGGAAAGAAAAGCAGCAGGUUAAUACCCCGCUGUUCUGACGGUACCCAAAGAAUAAGCACCGGCUAACUUCGUG
rnacentral:rRNA from 1 species